rnacentral:rRNA from 1 species
GCAGGUACAGAGGGGUGCUACCGGGUGACCGGAUGCCGAUCUCGAAAACCUGUCCCAGCUCGGACUGGAGUCUGCAACCCGACUCCACGAAGUUGGAUUCGCUAGUAAUCGCGCAUCAGCCAUGGCGCGGUGAAUACGUUCCCGGGCCUUGUACACACCGCCCGUCAAGCCAUGGGAGCCGGGGGCGCCUGAAGUCCGGGACCGCGAGGACCGGCCUAGGGCGAAACUGGUGACUGGGGCUAAGUCGUAACAAGGUAUC